rnacentral:ncRNA from 1 species
UAUAUCCAGCUCAAAUUAGGGAGUGGGACAGAAAUGAUAUUUUCGCAAAAUUUAUUUCGUCGUCCCACCCCAGCAAGGUUGACUAGAAUUGAAAAAAGCUUGUUACAAGCGCAUUUUCGUUCAGUCAACUACUGCCAAUAUAACUUCGUAGAGCAUAGAACAUUGAUUUAU